GUAGCCUAAUGGUAAAGCGUCCGCCUCGGAAGCGGGAGGUCGUGGGUUCGAUCCCAGGCCAAGUCA